AUUGAACGCUGGCGGCAGGCCUAACACAUGCAAGUCGAGCGGAUGAAGGGAGCUUGCUCCUGGAUUCAGCGGCGGACGGGUGAGUAAUGCCUAGGAAUCUGCCUGGUAGUGGGGGAUAACGUCCGGAAACGGGCGCUAAUACCGCAUACGUCCUGAGGGAGAAAGUGGGGGAUCUUCGUACCUCACGCUAUCAGAUGAGCCUAGGUCGGAUUAGCUAGUUGGUGGGGUAAAGGCCUACCAAGGCGACGAUCCGUAACUGGUCUGAGAGGAUGAUCAGUCACACUGGAACUGAGACAAGGUCCAGACUCCUAAGGGAGGCAGCAGUGGGGAAUAUUGGACAAUGGGCGAAAGCCUGAUCCAGCCAUGCCGCGUGUGUGAAGAAGGUCUUCGGAUUGUAAAGCACUUUAAGUUGGGAGGAAGGGCAGUAAGUUAAUACCUUGCUGUUUUGACGUUACCAACAGAAUAAGCACCGGCUAACUUCGUG
rnacentral:rRNA from 1 species